UGCAGGAUGAAGGUCCUAUGGAUUGUAAACUGCUUUUGUACGGGAAGAAACCCCUCCUCGUGAGGAGGGCUGACGGUACCGUAAGAAUAAGGAUCGGCUAACUCCGUGCCAGCAGCCGCGGUAAUACGGAGGAUCCGAGCGUUAUCCGGAAUCAUUGGGUUUAAAGGGUCCGUAGGCGGCCUUGUAAGUCAGUGGUGAAAUCUCACGGCUCAACCGUGAAAUGGCCAUUGAUACUGCGGGGCUUGAAUUAUCGGGAAGCAGCUAGAAUAUGUAGUGUAGCGGUGAAAUGCUUAGAUAUUACAUGGAAUACCGAUUGCGAAGGCAGGCUGCUACCGGUGGAUUGACGUUGAUGGACGAGAGCGUGGGGAGCGAACAGGAUUAGAUACCCUGGUAGUCCACGCCGUAAACGA
rnacentral:rRNA from 1 species